CAGCCGCCGCGGGUAAUACAGAGGGUGCGAGCGUUAAUCGGAUUUACUGGGCGUAAAGCGUGCGUAGGCGGCUUCUUAAGUCGGAUGUGAAAUCCCUGAGCUUAACUUAGGAAUUGCAUUCGAUACUGGGAAGCUAGAGUAUGGGAGAGGAUGGUAGAAUUCCAGGUGUAGCGGUGAAAUGCGUAGAGAUCUGGAGGAAUACCGAUGGCGAAGGCAGCCAUCUGGCCUAAUACUGACGCUGAGGUACGAAAGCAUGGGGAGCAAACAGGAUUAGAUACCCGCGUAGUCCCUGUCUCUUAUA
rnacentral:rRNA from 1 species